CACGAUCCAACCUCGAGAUCUAUUUUAGUUCUCUAUCUUCUCCAUUGACUAAUCUCUGAUCUCUCUCUCAAUCAUCCUCCAAAACUCCCCGAUUCUUUGUUCCUUGUUUUGCAUUCUUUAACGCAAAUGGAGGACGAUGCGUCGGUCCCCAAGCAUUCGUGCUUGAAGCUCCAACCAAGAGACUCCCAGCCCAUCUUCAUCAAGGGCACAUGGUUUGCCUCCCGCUUCGACCUCUCCAUCACCGACGACCUCAACGUCUGGGUCUGCCGCGCUUCCGAAGACACCGUCUGAUACUGAUCCACCUAGUGGAACCAGCCAGCGCCCAAGUACGUCUCAUUGGUAUAACAUUAUUUAAGGUUUCGACACUCUGAUUCCGUCUACGGGUCCGCUGAAGCUGGUGAUGGCCACAAGAGAGUGAGUUGUCACAAAAUCAAGUAAGUACACUGGUUCACCGUACGUUGUUGAAUGGAACCAAGCAAGCAACAAUGUGGUCUCAGUAAAGGUAAGCUUUCUUUAUAAAAUUUUAAUUACAAUCGAAUCAAGAUUGGUUAUCAAUAGGCAAAUGAGGGUGUACCCAUUGAUCUCAGGUAGGUUCAAGGAAAUCUGCAAAGAUAACAUUGAUCUCAGGUGAUUACUCUCUAUUGUUGGAUUAGCUUGAGCUAGCUUGCGGCCAAUAGACCUAAAGAUUCUCAAGGCUGUUGAAAAAGCCAAACCAAUAGUCCUGGUCUUCAUUUCCACCACCCAGUUGAAGGUCAUUCAUCUUAUUUUGGUGAAAGCUAUGCUCUUUCAUUUUGGGGUUAGCUUUUUCAAUUCUGAAUGAGACAUAUCAGAUUCAUAAAGGAAAUCAUUUCCUCCAUAUAGUGAUCAUGGGAUCUCUGCAUAAAGCUAUCAUUCCUGGGUUGCCUGACAACUUGACAUUGAGAUGUCUGGCAAAGCUAUCUCAUGGAUAUCAUGGACUGGUUGGGACUGUUUCAAAGACAUGGCGAAAUUUUUUCCGUAGUUCAGACUAUGCCAACUAUAAAGCCAGGGAGGGAUUGUGUGGCAAGUGGUUGUUUGUUCUGAAUGAUGGCUCCAGUGAGUUGCUUAUGAUCCUGAGGCUGAUAGGUGGCAUCCUCUGCCAAAAAUUCCUUCUAUCCAUGGUGAAGGGAGACACUAUGGAUUUUCAUGUAUUAGUGUUUGCAAUCGAUUUUUCGUAAUAGGAGGGUCAUAUUCUCCGGUGACGAAUGAGGUUAUGCAGUUUGAUCCGUUUAAGAAACAAUGGACCAAUGUGGUAAGCAUGAUUACUCCCCGCUCUCACUUUGCAUGUACUGUUGUACUUAAUGUCCAAUAUGUAUAUGUUUAUUGGUAGACAAGGGACUUGAAUUGUUUGAUCAAAUGUGUACCUUUUAUGAGGUUAAACCCAGGCUUCAACACUAUGCUUGUGUUGUUGACCUUUUGGCCAGAUCAGGCAUGUUAGAGGAAGCUGAGAAGUUUAUAGAGGAGAAGAUGGGAGGACUGGGAAGAGGAGAUGCCAACGUGUGGGGGGCAUUACUAAGUGCUUGUAGAGUUCAUGGGAAUUUUGAAGUGGGGAACAGAAUUUGGAAAACGCUCGCUGAUAUGGGAGUAGCAGAUUGUGGUAUUCAUGUCCUUUCAUAUAAUUUGUACAAGGAAGCUGGCUUACAAUUCGAGGCAAAGAAAGUCCGAGAUAUGAUAUCAGAGGGUGGACUGAAGAAGAAACCUGGUUCCAGUGUGAUAGAGUGGCUUAAGAAAUGCUUGUCGGUGAUCUUUCUUCUCCACAAGCACAAGAAAUGCUUGAGAUGCUGGACUCUUUGUAAAAUCGAGAAUUUAGAGGAUGUAUGAUUCGGUGACUCCUUCCUUAGAUGUAUUUAUCUAUAUAUCACUUCAUUCUUUUGAUUCAAUACAGCAAAAACUUGAAUAAUGCAGCAGAGAAAUAUUUGUCUUUAUUAGAACUUUUUGCUGGAAGCAUAGAAGAAAUUAA